rnacentral:lncRNA from 1 species
GACCCUGUAAGUGGCUGCGGCGGGAAGAUGGCGGAGCUGCGCGUGCUCGUAGCUGUCAAGAGGGUCAUCGACUACGCCGUGAAGGUGAUCGGGCCCCCCUCUCCCACAUCCCUGAGUCCCGCAGCCGUGUGCUUCCGGGGCCACGAGCGCACACUGGGUGGGGGUCUUCUCGUAACCCCCGACCUCUGCCGCUUUAACCCCCAAACGUCAAAGUCACCUGAGGGCAAAAAUCCAAGAGUGAAGUUCUAACAUCCGAUCCCUCCGGGGUCACGGCCAUGUUCUCUUUUCCCUCGUUCUGGAUUCACUCUCUUGAUAACUGUUCAGAGUGAGUUGCUUUCUCUAUUUCUUACCCACUGGAAGAAGUCACGGUCCCUGUUUAAUGCACGGAGAAACUGAGGCACAGAGAGGUCACCCAGCUAGAGAAGGGCAGAGCCGAGAGUUCUAUCCAGGUUCCUCUGACUGCUUUCACCCACUAGGCUGCAUUACUUACCAUUGUACUCUUAUAUUACCCGAAAUGUGCUAUAGAGGGAGUCAGACAGGGUCCUGUGGGGCCCCAGAAGCUGCUUUCCACCCUCCAUAGCCACAGGGUGAGCCAGGAGGCUCUAGCUAGGGAGAGAGAAGUGUGUUUGCUAGAGAUGAAAGUUCAAGGAGCCAACCUGACUGAGCUGGGGGUAGCUCACAUUCUCCAUGAAAGAGGUGGGAGCAGGGGCACCCUCUGAGAGCCCAGCUUGUCCCCAGAGGGAAGCUGGUGUGGACACUUUGUAAUCCACAGUGUUGUUUACUUAUUGAUUGCUCUGGUGUCUGUCGCCCCUUCUGGAAUUUGAGCUCCAGGUGUGGGGGAGACAGUUUGAUGUGGUCACUGCUUCCUGAGACAGUGGGUUCACUACUAGAAUAGUGCAGACCUCAGACUCCAAGCCCAGCGCCUGCGUCCACUUCCUGCUGUGUGACCUUGAGGAAAUUGCUUCACCACUCUAAGCCUCAUUUUUCUACUCUGUACAAUGGGGAUGAUGGUACUAUCUACUUUAUUGAGUUGUAAUGAAAAUUAAAUAAGCCCUUGGAACAGUGCCUGGCACACAGUGGUUUGUUUUGUUUUAUUUUUUGAGACGGAGUCUAUCUCUGUUGCCCAGGCUGGAGUGCAGUGGCAUGAUCUCAGCUCACUGGAACCUCCACUUCCCAGGUUCAAGCAACUCUGCCUCAGCCUCCUGAGUAGCUGGGAUUACACGUGUGAGCCACCACGCCUGGCUAAUUUUUGUAUUUUUAGUAGAAACGAGGUUUUGCUAUGUUAGCCAGGCUGGUCUAGACCUCCUGACCUCAGGUAAUCCACCCGCCUCAGCCUCCCAACGUGCUGGGAUUACAGGUGUGAGCCACUGUGACCAGCUGCAAUAAGUGUUUUUAUUGGGAGUAGUAGUAAUGGAUGUUUAGUUAGUCAUUUAUUCAAAACAUAACAAAUGCUGUGCUCAGAGUGUAUUCGUGUGUGUGUGUGUGUGUGUGUGUGUGUGUGUGUGUGUGUGUAUGUGUGUCCGGCUGUGUGUAUGUUUCUGGGUAUGUGCGUGUAUCUAACAUUUUAAUAGGUAUUUGGCAACUCAGUAACACCCUGUCCUGUUCAGGGGCACAUUUUACAGGAAGCUGAUGAAGCUUAACCUUCAGGGCCUCUUUCAAGACCCCAGGAGAAAGGCUGGGCCUGGUGGCUCACGCCUGUAAACACACACUUUGGGAGGCUGAGGUGGGUGGAUCACGAGGUCAGGAGUUCAAGACCAUCCUAGCCAACAGAGUGAAACUCUGUCUCUACUAAAAAUACAAAAAUUAGCUGGGCAUGGCGGCGCGUGCCCGUAGUCCCAGCUACUCGGGGGGCUGAGGCAGAAGAAUCGCUUGAACCAGGGAGGCGGAGGUUGCAGUGAACCGAGAUCGUGCCACUGCACUCCAGCCUGGGUGACAGAGGGAGACUCCGUCUCACAAAAAAAAAAAAAAAAAAAAAAACCCAGGAGAGGCUGGGCAAUUUUGUAUUCAUUAUCUGGGAUUCAUUUUCUUAGAGAUGACCCCACAGGAUAGAAACUCCAGGCCCAGAAAACGUGUUUCCAUCUCGGGGCCCAACCCCGACCAGCCACACCCUCUCGUCUGGGAGCGCCUGGUGUUUCUUCAGGUUUUCCUCUUUGGGCUCCACGCACUUGCCCCUCCUGCUCUCAGCAAGGCCACCUUGUCUGACAGGGCACACGUGGGGCUCACAUGUCACCUCAGGGACGAGUUCUCUGUCUGCCCCCCGCCGAGUUAGUGAUCUGUCACUGGGGUGGCUCCCUGGCCUUGGCUGUCCUGCUUGCUGAGUGCCCUAGCACGUGCCCAGGGACUCGCUUGACAGAAAAGCCUAGAGGACAGAACCACACAAGUCCUUGAGCUGUGUCAGGGGUUCAGGAAGAGCUGUCGAAAAUCACUUUAUAAAAUCCCUCUUGGGCCGGGCGUGGUGGCUCACACCUGUAAUUCCAGCAUUUUGGGAGGCCGAGGUGGGCGGAUCACCUGAGGUCAGGAGUUCGAGACCAGCCUGGCCAACAUGACGAAACCCCAUCUCUACUAAAAAUAAAAAAAUUAGCCAGGCGUGGGCCGGGCGCGGUGGCCCACACGUGUAAUCUCAGCACUUUGGGAGGCUGAGGCGGGUGGAUCACAAGGUUAGGAGAUUGAGACCAUCCUGGCUAACACGGUGAGACCUUGUCUCUACUAAAAAUACAAAAAAUUAGCCAGGCGUGGUGGCAGGCGCCUGUAGUCCCAGCUACUGGGGAGGCUGAGGCAGGAGAAUCGCUUGAACCCAGAAGGUGGAGUUUGCAGUGAGCCAAGAUCAUACUACUGCACCCCAGCCUGGGCAACAGAACAAGACUCUGUAUCAAAAAGAAAGAGAAAGAGAGAGAGAGAGAGAGAGAGAAAGAGAGAAAGAAAAGAGAAGAGAAGAAAAUCCCUCUUGCCUGCAGUGGACAACAAAUAGGAAGACUGGCUCUCCUAACACCGUGGGCACACGUAGCCUCUUUCAGAGUCUCACAGUUCCCAAGACAGAUUUGGGGUUAGACCCGUGGUCCUGCCACUUCCAUGCUCAGUGGCCCUGGCCAAGGUACUUGGCCUCUCUGUGCCUCAGUUGCCUCAUCUGUAAAAUGAGAGGUAAUGGCAGUAACCAACCUCACAGGCUACUAGGAUGGUCAAACGAGUUAAUGCAUAUAAAACCCUUGACUCGUUGUCUGCAUGGGUCAGUGCUGCUUUUAAAAAAAUUUUUUUUUUCUUUUCUUUUUUUUUUUUUGAGAUAGAAUCUGGUCUGUCACCCAGGCUGGAGUGCAUUGAUGUGAUCCCUGCUCACUGCAACCUCCACCUCCCGGGUUCAAGUGAUUCUCCUCCCUCAGCCUCCCAACUAGCUGGAAUUACAGGCAUGUGCUAAAACGCUCGACUAAUUUUUGUAUUUUUAGUAGAGAUGGGGUUUUACCAUGUUGGCCAGGCUGGUCUCGAACUCCUGACCACAAGUGAUCCACCCACCUCAGCCCCACAAAGUGCUGGGAUUACAGGUGUGAGCCGCCACGCCCAGCUUUGAGGCUGUUUUUGAUAUUGGUGGAUAUGUCGUCUCUUUAAGAGAAAGCCAGCACUUAAUGCUGAAUGAUUUACCUCAAUUAUAAAACUUUUUUUUUUUCUUUUUGAGACAAGGUCUAGCUCUGUCACCCAGGCUAGAGUGGUACAGUCACAGCUCGCUGCAGCCUCGACCCUCCUGGGUUCAAGCCGUCCUCCCACCUCAGCCUCCUCAGUAGCUGGGACUACAGGUGCACGCCACCAUGACCUGCUAAUUUUGUUUUUUGGUAGAGAUGAAGUCUCUCUAUGUUGCCCAGGCUGGUCUUGAAAUCCUGGGCUCCAGUGAUCCUCCUUCCUCAGUCUCCUAAGGUGCUGGGAUUACAGGCAUGAGCCAUCAUUAUUUAAAAAACAAACAAGCUAUCAUUUUUCAGCCCUACCAUUGUUUCCUGACUUAUGUAAUAUAACUAAACUGUUUUUGAAGCUUAAAAUCAACUCAAGCUUAAUUGAGAAGAUGAGCUAGUUUGUUUCCUCAGGUGUGUGUGCGUGCGUGUGUGUGUGUGUGUCUGGAAAGUUCUUACCCUUUCUCCUCAGGAGUCAGGAGCCUGGGAAUCAGGAGCUUAGGGCUGGGAGUUCUGCCAGAGCAAGAGCAAGAUGUGGCUUGAGGCCCUUCAGAAGCCUCCCUGACUCACAGCAAGAAGCUUGGGGCCUCUUACUGAUGGGUGGAUGAGGUUCUUUUCUGUCUUAAAGGGGCAACUCCUAUGUUGUGUUUUUUUUUUUAAGAAAAAAGGCCAGGCACUGCGACUCACACCUGUAAUCCCAUCACUUUGGUAGGCUGAAGCAGGCGGAUCACUUUAGGCCAGGAGUUCCAGACCAGCCUGGGAAACACGGGGAAAUCCUUUCUCUACAAAAAGUAAAAAAAAAAAAAUUAGCCCGGCAUGAUGGUGCCCGCCUGUGGUCCCAGCUACUGGGGAGGCUGAAGUGGGAGGAUCACCUGAGCCCGGGAGGUGGAGGUUGCAGUAAGGCAAGGUGGCACCUCUGCACUCCAGCCUGGGCAACGAGAGAGAUGAAAAUAACAGUUCUUUCUCUUUCCUCUCCUCUUCCAGCUCCUUCUCCUCUUUCUCCUUUUUCUUUUUCUUUUUCUUUUUUGAGAUGAGGUCUUGCUCUGUCACCCAGGUUACAUGUAGUGGCAUGAUCACGGCUCACUGCACCCUUGACCUCCUGGGCUCAGGUGAUCCUCCCGCCUCAGCCUCCUGAGUAGCUGGGACUACAGGUGUGUGCCACCAUACCUGGCUGUUUUUUUUUUUUUUUUUUUGUUGUUGUUUGUUUGUUUGUUUUGAGGCGGAGUCUUGCUCUGUCGCCCAGGCUGGAGUGCCGUGGCGCAAUCUUGGCUCAUUACAACCUCCACCUCCUGGGUUCAAGCAAUUCUCCCUGCCCCAGCCUCUGAGUAGCUGCAAUUACAGGCGUGCACUACCAUGCCCGGCUAAUUUUUUAUUUUAUUUUUAUUUUUAGUAGAGAUGGGGUUUUGCCAUGUUGGCCAGGCUGGUCUUGAACUCUUGACCUCAGGUGAUCCGCCCACCUUGGCCUCCCAAAGUGCUGGGAUUACAGGCAUGAGCCACCACGCCCAGCUGUUUUUGUUUUUGUUGUUGUUGUUUGUAGAACCUGUUGCCCAGGCUAGUAUCCAACUCCUGGGCACAAGUGAUCCUCCCACCUUGGCCUCCCAAAUUUCUGGGAUUACAGACAGGAGCCACUGCGCCCGGUCUCAGUCCUCCAUCUUUUAAUGUUACCCUCUCCAUGAGGCACAGCCAGAGUGGGAAGCCCCUUAUGGGUCCCACCUUCUCAUCUCGGAUUCUGUCCUGCCUGUGGGAGGAACAGUUACACCCACAGCCCCAGAGAAAAAGGGGCAGGGAAAUAGCAAGAGCAUCCCAGUGUCCUCACCAGGCUCAGCUGCCACCCGAGAUCUGCUCUGGCCAAGCCCUGGGUGGCGGCCACAUGGGAGAAGAGGAAGAGGGCAGGCUCCAGGCCAAAUGGGGCAGCUCCCUAGCAAGGCUUCUGUGGAUGUCCCUGGAGGCUUUUUAAAAAUUUGUGCCCCAAACCAAACUCGCCGUCUUCCCGGCUCUGGCUGAUGUACUGACUGGAAGCCCCUUUUUGGUGUCAUCUUCCCAUCACGAACCAUGGCCUGUCAGUUGCACCUCCAGAAACCUCUUGCAUCUGUCUCUGCUGUCACAGCUGUCUGAGCCACUGUCACCUCUCACUUUGGUGACAAACAGCCACCCAGCUCUCUCCCCACUUCCUCUCAUCCUUUUCCAAUUUUCUCCACCAAGAAUCCAGAAUGACCUUAUAAAAACUCAGGUUGGGCCAGGAGCGGUGGCUCACGCCUGUAAUCCCCUGCCUUUGAGAGGCCGAGGUGGGUGGAUCACCAGAGAUCGGGAGUUCGAGACCAGCCUGGCCAACAUAGUGAAACCCUGUCUCUAUUAAAAAUACAAAAAAUUAGCUGGGCGUGGUGGUGGGCACCUGUAAUCACAGCUACUCAGGAGGCUGAGGCAGGAGAAUCGCUUGAACUGGGGAGGCAGAGGUUGCAAUGAGCUGAGAUCAUGCCACUGCUCUCCAUCCUGGACAACAGAGCAAGACUCCAUCUCAAAAAAAAAAAAAAAAAGAAAGAAAGAAAAAAAGGAUUGUGGUGGGCCAAGAAAUAAAAUAGCCCUCCAAAACAGCCAGGUUUCAAUCCCUGGCACCUGAGAAGGGGAAAUCACUUAGAAACAGGGUCUUUGCAGGCUGGCCAUGUUGGCUUAUGCCUGUAAUCCCAGCACUUUGGGAGGCCGAGGAGAGCAGAUCACCUGAGGUCAGGAGUUCAAGACCAGCCUGGCCAACAUGGUGAAACCCUGUCUCUACUAAAAAUACAAAAAUUAGCCAGGCGUGGUGAUGCAUGCCUGUAAUCCCAGCUACUUGGGAGGCUGAGGCAGGCAAAUUGCUUGAACCCGGGAGGCAGAGGUUGCAGUGAGCCGAGAUUUCACCACUGUACUCCAGCCUGGGCGACAGAGCGAGAGCCCA